AUUUAAUUGGUAAUAAGCAGAUGAGGCCACCCUGGUGGUGUGUUUGAUGCGUUGCUCUCCUGAAGCACAGGGUGUGGAUUAAGUUACAGAAGAAUGGUGGAUCCAACCUUGCAAACACUAUUCAGGUUUCCCUCCUGGUCAUCUGGUUCUAAAGAGAGACAAAGAGCAUCCUGCUCCCAGCUUUGCCUGUCCAUACUGGAACAACGUCCCCAAAACGGGAAGGUUUUAGAAAUGAAGGUCCAACUCCAGUGGUUCAAAGCCUGGCAGCAAUGUCUGAGCAACUUUGGCAUGUAAUCUGUUUGAAAGGGUUUGGUUUCAGAUCCUGAAAGACAAACAUGUUCCUGACUGACUGGUUGAAAUUAUUUUUGCCUGUCUGGUGCUAGACAUAUAAAUGAAAGCAGCACUGGGUUGUUUCUGUUUCCGCACUUAGAAGAUGAAGAAGAGCAGCUUGUGCUCACCUACUAGCUCAGGUCAGCUCACACAGGCUCCUUCCUGCUCAUUUCCAGGGAUUUCUAUCUGAACUGUCUGAAACAUGCCAAAAAUUAACAUCCAACCUGUAAAAACAGGAGCAAAACAAAACCGUUUCCCUGAAGCUUUAGCAGGACCUACAGUAGCAGCUGGCAAAGAAUUGUGCUGAUGUGAAACAGCAUAGGGAACUGAUUUAACAAGUAAAUUAAGUAUUUUCUACACCUUGUAUAUAUUCAAGUCUCUUACCCCCGGGUAUGCUGUCAAUGAAUGCAACUGCAGCUCUGCCAUGACAGCCCCACAUUCAAUAGCACCUUUGUCAGGGAAAAAAUGUCAGGGUUUUCAGGCAAACUGUAAUAGCAGGUCAGUGCUUGGAGCCCUGAGCCUAAUUAUUGGCAAAACAGCAUUUGAAGAUUCAGCGUUAGUUUGCACUACGCUUGUUCUCUGCCCAUUAGAGGCUACAAGAGAUACCAGGACAGCACAGGAGACAUAAUGAAGGUCUAUCAAAGCACGAAAGACAUAGGGAAAAGGAACAGGGGAUGAUUAUUCCCUUUUCCUUAACACAGAGGAAAUAGCCAUCAAUCAAUCACAUUACCAGGCAGCAAGGCUUAAAUUCAACACAAGGAAAUACAUUUCCAACCGCUCCAAAAGGUCCAAAGCCCACCUUGAUCAAAAUAUUAACUAAUCAGAACCACAGAGUUUUAGUCUUCUAUAGAUCCUAGAGGUAACAGCUUAUAUGCAGCCUGUGGCUCAGAAGUCCCAAACCUGGAGAGGUUUUUGAAGGUGCCUUGUGGUACUCUAUGCACCAUUGUUUUACCCCCUCCAAUGCCCUUUGUUACUACCCAUUUCUGAACAUAGGGUGCCAGGCUGUAUGGACCAUUAGAGAGAGCUCUUGAGAGAUUGUAGGCACAGUUAUAAAGCUUUUAGCAGUAGAACUUACCCCUGUGUGGAGAAGGAAAAGAAGCCAAGCUAACAUAAGGACCUCAGAGCUGCAUCUUCAGUAGAGUUCUUCGUCAUGAAACAAUGUUGGUAAAAGAAAUGUGCAGACUAGACUUAGUCCAUGUUUCCAUGGUCAUGGUGAUGUGAGAGAACUACAGAUUAAUAUAUGCUGACAUCCAGACAUUCAGAGACCUACAAGACUGCCCUUGCCCUGUUAAUAAGUUCAUCCAAAAUAGGAACAGAAAAAGUAUUAUGCACUUCUAAUUGGUCACAACCAACAUUUCAUACGUAGAACUCGACAUUCCCAAACUAUUUGGUCAGACUUGAAAAAGAGCUUGAGCUAAAAUAAAAAUCCAUUGAGUCCAUUUGUUCUGCA
rnacentral:lncRNA from 1 species